GGAAUGGCUGGCAAAGACAUUUCUUUCACGAGGCGGAGGAGUGCUGAUCUUAGCUGAUCGAACGUUGUGGACCCCUGGUAAAGCCCGCCUGCUUCUUACUGAUUUCUCUCUCCAGUUAUGAUAAAAUUUUGACUCCAUUAAGUGGGGGCAAGGCUGUGGGGAGUGAGUGUUUUGUGAGGACAGCAUGAGAGAAGGGCCCAAGAGACUAGGGGCUGAGGCGGCUGCCUCAGGGCAUCUGAUUCUCAGUUGGUAUUCCAGCUGCUAAGAAGUGAGCCUUGCAGACCUGAAGGCUUCUCAGUAAGGCCAGUGGAAGUGACAGGAAUGGGAGAAGGCAGGUCCCAGUUCCCCCCGUUAUGGGGGGAGAAAUGGAGACCCAGCAUUUCUCUUUCUCCGACUGACUGCUUAGUAGACAAGAUGAUGCACGAGGCCCCUCAAGACAUCUGGGGAUGAGGGUGAUGAGUGGACAGACUCAUCCCCACAAGUCAUCCCAAAUUUUCUGCCACGUUCUGCGUUCCUGUGUUUAAAUGGACACAAGUUACUCUUCCCAGGAGAGAGAGGGCUUUGGCGAGCAUCUCCUGGAGAAGCUGCCCAGUUCACAGCACCAGCUCCUUCUUGGGACCCCUCCUGACUCAGAAGGGUGCUCGAGGAAGCUAUGUCUUAACCACCCUUGGCUGCAAAGUGGACACCCAGCUCUGGAGCAAUAGAUUCUCUCUUCAGAACAUUAAAUCACUGGAGAAUUGCAGAAACUAGGAUUUGUUAGAGUUAAAUCUCUUUAAUGGCAGUGUUCUACAGUGGUGGUCACUGAACAUUUUUUUUUUUUCAUUAUGCAUGGGUUAAAAAAAAGUGGGACAUGCAUUCCCAAUAUAUAUUUAUUUAUUUUUACAUUAUACAUAUCUACUAUUAUUACUAGCUAAUAUCUCAAAGCACACUACAUAGUUAGGGUUUUUUAAAAUGAAAAGUAAAUAUGACCCCAGUAGCAACAAACACGCCUAAUACCUGGAUCUCAGUUUCUAAUACCAUUCUCCAAUAAAAAGAAGCAGGUCUCCUUGGAUAAAUGGUUGAUUCUAGAACUGGUGUGGAAAAUAGAGAAGAUUAGCCUGGGGCAUCAUGUAAUGACAGAAACUAAGGAGGCACUCAACCGAGACAAAACAAAACAGCAUAAUAAUAGGGGUCUGUCAAAGGAAUACAGGAGCCAACUAUAAGAGCUCCUAAUGGCCAGAGCUAUAAAAGCAUAAGCAACAAAACAAACAAAAUACUAUAAAAUAAAUAUCCAUGUGUCCAUACUGAUAAAAAUAAAUGAUUGGAUAAAUAAGGAAAAAGAGCAAGUAUCAUGUACAGAAUCAUUCUAAAUAAUUUAUCUCAUAGACGGCAUAUUACCAUUGUUGUUAGAAUGUUAUUCUUGUUGCUGUUGUUAUUAUCAAUCUUUGUAUCCUUUGUUAACUCAGUGCUCAAAAACCUAUUACUUAAAUAAAAAACUAUUUUAACUAAGGUAAAAAUUACCUUUAAUAAAUUAGUAUGUUCCCCUCUUAUCCUGUUGACACAGGUGCAUUUCAACAGGACCUUUCUGGAGAAACAUCUAUGGAACUUAGAAGACGUGAGACUGAACAUUUAUGGUAUGAAGCCAGGGUAGUCACAUUAGUUAGGGGCAGGCUUCAUUU
ensembl:lincRNA